CCGGGCGACCGGCGGCACGGGUGAGUAACACGUAUGGAACCUGCCCGCAGCAGGGGGAUAAGCGGAAGAAAUUCCGUCUAAUACCGCGUAACAACGUUGGGAGGCAUCUCCCGAUGUUUAAAGAUUUAUCGGCUGCGGAUGGCCAUGCGGCGCAUUAGCUAGUCGGCGGGGUAACGGCCCACCGAGGCGACGAUGCGUAGGGGUUCUGAGAGGAAGGUCCCCCACACUGGUACUGAGACACGGACCAGACUCCUACGGAAGGCAGCAG
rnacentral:rRNA from 1 species